CUAGGAAGGAGUGACUAAAGGUGGGGCUCCUUCGGGACCUGCCGCUUGGGGAGGUGUCCGCGUGCCAUCAGCUUGUUGGUAGGGUAACGGCCUACCAAGGCUUACGGCUAGCUGGUCUGAGAGGAUGACCAGCCACACUGGGACUGAGACACUGCCCAGACUCCUACGGGAGGCUGCAGUCGAGGAUCAUUCGCAAUGCGCGAAAGCGUGACGAUGCGACGCUGCGUGGAGGAUGAAGGCUUUCGGGUUGUAAACUCCUGUCAUGAGGGAAAAGACGUCUUGGGGAAAUACCCCCGAGACCCGAUGGUACCUCAAGAGGAAGCCACGGCUAACUCUGUGCCAGCAGCCGCGGUAAUACAGAGGUGGCGAGCGUUGUUCGGAUUUACUGGGCGUAAAGCGUGUGUAGGCGGUAUCGUAUGUCAGAUGUGAAAUCCCACGGCCCAACCGGGGAACUGCAUCUGAAACUGCGGAACUAGAGUACAGGAGGGGAGAGCGGAAUUCUUGGUGUAGCGGUGAAAUGCGUUGAUAUCAAGAAGAACACCGGUGGCGAAGGCGGCUCUCUGGAAUGUUACUGACGCUCAGACACGAAAGUUGGGGGAGCAAACAGGAUUAGAUACCCUGGUAGUCCCAACCGUAAACGGUGUGCACUUGGUGUUGGAGGUAUUAACCCCUUCAGUGCCGGAGCUAACGCGUUAAGUGCACCGCCUGGGGAGUACGGCCGCAAGGCUAAAACUCAAAGAAAUUGACGGGGGCCCGCACAAGCGGAGGAGCAUGUGGCUUAAUUCGAUGCAACGCGAAGAACCUUACCUGGGCUUGACAUGUAACUGCACGCCCCGUGAAAGCGGGGUUCCUUCGAGGGUGUUACACAGGUGCUGCAUGGCUGUCGUCAGUUCGUGCCGUGAGGUGUUGGGUUAAGUCCCGCAACGAACGCAACCCUUGUGGUUAGUUGCCACCGUCGGUGAUAAGCCGGCGAGCACUCUAGCCAGACUGCCCGUACAAGCGGGAGGAAGGUGGGGAUGACGUCAAGUCAGUAUGGCCCUUACGUCCAGGGCUGCACACGUGCUACAAUGGCCGGUACAGAAGGAUGCAAUGCCGCGAGGUGGAGCAAAUCCCCAAAACCGGCCUCAGUUCGGAUUGUAGUCUGCAACUCGACUACAUGAAGUUGGAUUCGCUAGUAACGGCGUAUCAGCUACGACGCCGUGAAUACGUUCCCGGGCCUUGUACACACCGCCCGUCAC
rnacentral:rRNA from 1 species